UCCAAUCGAACCCGGAGAUAGCUGGUUCUCCUCGAAAUAGCUUUAGGGCUAGCCUUCAGUUAGUCUGCCGCAGGUAGAGCACUGAAUUUCCUAGGGGGCGUCAAAGCCUACCGAAGAAUAUCAAACUCCGAAUGGCGGACAGAUGAUGCUGGGGAGUCAGACUGCACGAGAUAAGUUGGGUGGUCAAAAGGGAAAGAGCCCAGACCUACAGCUAAGGUCCCAAAGUACGUGUUAAGUGGAAAAGGAUGUGGGAUUUCAAAGACAGCUAGGAUGUUGGCUUAGAAGCAGCCAUACAUUAAAAGAGUGCGUAAUAGCUCACUAGCCGAGAGGUCCUGCGCCGAAAAUGUCCGGGGCUAAAACACGACACCGAAGCUUAGGAAUCAGAAAUGAUUGGUAGAGGAGCAUUCUUAAAUCAUCGAAGCUGUACCGGUAAGGAGCAGUGGAGGUUUAAGAAGAGAGAAUGCCGGAAUGAGUAGCGAGAAUGAAGUGAGAAUCUUCAUGGCCGAAUAUCCAAGGUUUCCAGGGUAAAGCUGAUCUGCCCUGGGUUAGUCGGGGCCUAAGGCGAGGCUGAGAAGCGUAGCUGAUGGACAACAGGUUGAAAUUCCUGUACUGCCUUAUAACAGAACUGUGGGGACACAUGUUCAGGUCGCGAGCCGGGAAAGGAAAGCCCGGUGCAAGCAGAGGUUAUCGGUGGGAGGCAAACCCCCCACAAAAGAGAAGACUGCGAUGCGGAGCGAAGAAAAGUAGCGAAGAGCGAUGAGAAUGUGUCGAGAAAAGCCGCUAUUGUUUAUAAGGUACCCGUACCGUAAACCGACACAGGUGGAUGAGGAGAGAAUCCUAAGGCCGGCGGGAGAAGCAUUGUUAAGGAACUCGGCAAAAUGACCCCGUAACUUCGGGAGAAGGGGUGCCCACGAAAGUGGGCCGCAGAGAAUAGGCUCAAGCAACUGUUUAGCAAAAACACAGGUCUAUGCAAAACCGUAAGGUGAGGUAUAUGGGCUGACGCCUGCCCGGUGCUGGAAGGUUAAGAGGAGAGGUUAACGAAAGUGAAGCUUUGAAUUUAAGCCCCAGUAAACGGCGGCCGUAACUAUAACGGUCCUAAGGUAGCGAAAUUCCUUGUCGGGUAAGUUCCGACCCGCACGAAAGGCGUAAUGAUUUGAGCACUGUCUCGACAAUGCACCCGGUGAAAUUGAAGUACCAGUGAAGAUGCUGGUUACCUGCGCCAGGACGGAAAGACCCCAUGGAGCUUUACUCUAGUUUGGUACUGGGGUCCGGUAUUGCAUGUACAGGAUAGGUGGGAGACUGAGAAGUGUGAACGCCAGUUUGCACGGAGUCAUUGUUGGGAUACCACCCCUGCAGUAUUGGGCUUCUAACAGGUAGCCGUAAACCGGCUAAUGGACAAUGCCAGGCGGGGAGUUUGACUGGGGCGGUCGCCUCCGAAAGGGUAUCGGAGGCGCUCAAAGGUUCCCUCAGAAUGGUUGGAAACCAUUCGAAGAGUGCAAAGGCAGAAGGGAGCUUGACUGCGACACCGACGGGUGGAGCAGGUACGAAAGUAGGACUUAGUGAUCCGGUGGUAUAAAGUGGGAUUGCCAUCGCUCAACGGAUAAAAGCUACCCUGGGGAUAACAGGCUUAUCACUCCCAAGAGUUCACAUCGACGGAGUGGUUUGGCACCUCGAUGUCGGCUCAUCGCAUCCUGGGGCUGUAGCAGGUCCCAAGGGUUGGGCUGUUCGCCCAUUAAAGCGGUACGCGAGCUGGGUUCAGAACGUCGUGAGACAGUUCGGUCCCUAUCCGGCGUGGGCGGAGGAUAUUUGAGAGGAGCUGUCCUUAGUACGAGAGGACCGGGAUGGACGAACCUCUGGUGUAUCGGUUGGAUUGCCAAAUCCAUGGCCGAGUAGCCAAGUUUGGAAGGGAUAAACGCUGAAGGCAUCUAAGCGUGAAGCCCCCCUCAAGAUGAGAUAUCCCUGCGUAUGCAGUAAGACCCCUUGAAGACUACGAGGUAGAUAGGUCAGAGGUGGAAGUGCAGUAAUGCAUGUAGCUGACUGAUACUAAUAGGUCGAGGGCUUGACCAA
rnacentral:rRNA from 1 species